rnacentral:rRNA from 1 species
UACGUAGGGUGCGAGCGUUAAUCGGAAUUACUGGGCGUAAAGCGUGCGCAGGCGGGCUUUUAAGCCAGACGUGAAAUCCCCGGGCUUAACCUGGGAAUGGCGUUUGGGACUGGAAGUCUGGAGUGCGGCAGAGGAGACUGGAAUUCCUGGUGUAGCAGUGAAAUGCGUAGAUAUCAGGAGGAACACCGAUGGCGAAGGCAGGUCUCUGGGCUGACACUGACGCUCAUGCACGAAAGCGCGGGGAGCAAACAGG